GCGGGUGUUGCCGGUUGAUGGUGGCCUAAGCAUUUGAGUCUAACUGAAAGUGAACCGGAGCGAUGUGCAGAAAAAAAAUCUUAGCACAGAGACUGAAUUUGUAUACUACUUAGAAUUUAUUAGAUCAGGUUAUAUUUCCUUGGUAGCAUGGCAGCAGCACCCAAUCAAACCACAACCGCGGCAGGCGUGCUCUGCGAUCUUGGCCACCGUCUCCAAGGCAGGAAGUUGGGCGCCAAGGUGGAGUCCCUGCAGAAGUAGUUCACCCGGAAGGUCGUCUUCUCCAAGGCGUCCCUAGCCUUCGAACAGGACCGCUCCAUCAAGAUUACUUAGCUUCGUUCAACUGCCAUUUUGACAUGGACUGCAAGUGGUGCUAGGGUUUGGUUGCUGGAUGGAAAAACACCAAGAACAUACGUCAUUACUCUAGCCACAUGGAAGCAAGAACGCAUGGCACCGUCCGCG